rnacentral:rRNA from 1 species
UACGAAGGGGGCUAGCGUUGCUCGGAAUCACUGGGCGUAAAGGGUGCGUAGGCGGGUCUUUAAGUCAGGGGUGAAAUCCUGGAGCUCAACUCCAGAACUGCCUUUGAUACUGAGGAUCUUGAGUCCGGGAGAGGUGAGUGGAACUCUGAGUGUAGAGGUGAAAUUCGUAGAUAUUCGGAAGAACACCAGUGGCGAAGGCGGCUCACUGGCCCGGUACUGACGCUGAGGUGCGAAAGCGUGGGGAGCAAACAGG